GACGAACGCUGGCGGCGUGCUUAACACAUGCAAGUCGAACGGAAAGGCCCUGCUUUUGUGGGGUGCUCGAGUGGCGAACGGGUGAGUAACACGUGAGUAACCUGCCCUUGACUUUGGGAUAACUUCAGGAAACUGGGGCUAAUACCGGAUAGGAGCUCCUGCUGCAUGGUGGGGGUUGGAAAGUUUCGGCGGUUGGGGAUGGACUCGCGGCUUAUCAGCUUGUUGGUGGGGUAGUGUCUUACCAAGGCUUUGACGGGUAGCCGGCCUGAGAGGGUGACCGGCCACAUUGGGACUGAGAUACGGCCCAGACUCCUACGGGAGGCAGCUGUGGGGAAUAUUGCACAAUGGGCGGAAGCCUGAUGCAGCAACGCCGCGUGCGGGAUGACGGCCUUCGGGUUGUAAACCGCUUUCGCCUGUGACGAAGCGUGAGUGACGGUAAUGGGUAAAGAAGCACCGGCUAACUACGUG
rnacentral:rRNA from 1 species